AGAGGUGAUGUGCUGGCUCUUUAAAUGAAGGGCAUUGUGCACUCCCUCAAAUCAUCAUAUUCACCUGUGCACAAUUUGAUAGGCAAGUGAAAAAGGGAAUGGCAACAUUCUUGGAUUUGCUUGACUUAUUGUCCUUUUAUCUAUACACACACUUUAUAUGAAUGUGAACCAAUAUAAAAUUUGUAACAACUUUCAACAAUGGAUCUCUUGGUUCUCGCAUCGAUGAAGAACGCAGCGAAUUGCGAUAUGUAAUGUGAAUUGCAGAAUUCAGUGAAUCAUCGAAUCUUUGAACGCAUAUUGCACCCUCUGGUAUUCUGGAGGGUAUACCUGUUUGAGUGUCAUUGUUAUCUCAAAAGCAAAGAGUUCAAUCUGUUUCUCUUUGCAUUUGGAUGUUGAAGGUCUUGCUGGCAUUUAUCUUGUUCAGCUCCUUUGAAAUGUAUUAGCGAGGGUUCUUUGCAGGACCAGCUUUGGUUUGAUACACAUAUGUUAUCUGAGCUGCUGCUGGAAUUGCUUUUAUGACUCUGCUCCUCAAUUGUCUUGCACACACACAAGACUUGUCCAUUCUGGGCAAAAAAAGAAAAAUCUAACUUGACCUCAAAUCAGGU
rnacentral:rRNA from 1 species